CUCAGAAAACCCCUCUCUCUCUCUCUCUCUCUCUCUCUCUCCUCUGCGUAUUACUGUUGCCGACGACGCAGGAGUACUUUCCGGCCACCAUUUUUAGCCACGCGCCGGACCGUUGGAUUCAGAGGCCUCCGAACUAUCGACCCACGCGAGAAUCUAGAGCUCACUCGCCGAUUAAACGCCUCAACCACUCGAUUUAAGUUCGGCCACCCCGCGACUUCAAAGUUGCGAUUCGGCCACCUCGGGCAUCCGUUUGCCGAUCCGUCACCACCAUCGUGUUCCUCGUGUUGUGGGCUUCAAAACCCAAUAACUUGUUCCUACAUCUACCAUAGUUGGGUGGUGGGCCCACCACGAGCCACCGCGAUCCACCGUAGAUUGACGGUCGAAACUUAGUGUUCGAGGUUCCGAAGUACGUUUUGAGUCUCAGAAAAUCAUCGUUUGACUUGUUGUGGAACCCGAUCAUUUUGGAUUUGUAUGGAUUUGAUUGAUUGACUCUUGGUGAGGAAUUUUAAAAUAAGCUAAGGACCUAAGGUGUGGCUUUAGCUGUUGAGCAACUUGUGGAGCACGGACUCAGUAGCAAUGCAAUAAUGGUUUAGAGUUUUCAUAUGGCUGCCUUAAAUUUAAAGUAUUCAUACGUGUAAUAAUUUCUUCUAAUAAGUUUAUAUAAAAGUUUUAAAUUUUUCUGUAUUUCUUCGUAUCAUUUUAUUUAAUUCUUUUGGUCAAGUGCCUUACAUACUCGUAAACCCUAGAAUUACGAGUAUGUGGCAGACGUACCCUACCUUAGGGACG